ACAAGACAGUUGAUUUUAAUGGUCUAAAUCAAUCCUAAAUAUAUAUUAAUGAUCAAAUAUAUUUACUUUCCAUCCAACAUUUAUCUCCCUUACCCUACCCACGUCUCCUCUCCAUUCCCUCUUUUAUCUCUCCCUCCCUCUCUGUUUCUUCUUCUUCAACAAAACCCGCUUGAACCCCGCCAUCGCGACUACCGACCACCUCUCCUCUCCCUCGCCAGAGACCCAAACUCAAACCCCUUCUUCCUGUCCUCCUUUAUCCCUCCCAGCCACAGCCUUAAUCCCUUCAUCUCCAGCUCCCACAUCCUCCUACAUCACUUCUGUCCUCUACCGACGCUUGGCAAGGUAAGAUUGUUUGUUUGUUUUGAUUUCGGUUGGGUUUGUUUUUAGCAUUUUUAGGUUCAAACAACGUUGCUCCUCCUUCAACUCCCUUCGAACUCCUACUCGCAAGUUACCAAACAGAAAUUUCCGACUCUAGAGCAGGAACUGAACUGAUUCUCACCAAGAAAUUCGGGUUGUUGAUUAUGUUGAUUACGUCGUUUCUCUCCUCUCCUCCUUCACAACCCUUCGAACUGGGCUAUUCAUUACAGUACGUAUGACUGAUAACUAUUUUUGUUUUUGGCUGGGUUUGUUUUUGGCUCAUGGCUGUGUUUGUUUUUGUUUUUGGCUAUGUUGGGUUAGCAUUUUUAGGUUGGAUUUCCAUUGUUGCAAUUCAAACAAUGCUGCUCCUUCUUCCCUUACAACCCUUCGAACUCACACUUGCAAGCUGCGUUGCAUUACUAAGAGAGACCAUGCUACCACUCUCUCUCUUCUUGUCUCCACCAUGGGUUUGUGAGUUGCGAUGGGCCAAUUGAGAGUUGAAAGGGCUUGAUCUAUAGAGUGCUAAUGGAUAACUAUAGCUUGAAGUCAAUGAUCGAUGAGUAUUUGAUUUUGACGAUUGAAGCUCUUCAAGUGAGCAUGCCAGGCCAAGAAUAGAUUGAGGCCACUUUGGUUAAGAGAUUUGACAACAGAUCCAGUGGGUAUCCCCAUCACAAACCCCUAAUAUCACUCUUUUUAUAUUUGUGUAAACAAUUGUCAAUUUCCAAAAUUAUUGAAUUAAAAUAUUAUUUCAUUGCAUUUAUUAAAUCUUCUAUUUGUAUUCCUAUCAUAGUUAGAAUAACACCCAACAUGCUUGGAGGUGUCUUUAGAGGCUUCCUCAUGAAAUCGAGUCCAGCAUUUUCAACUGUGAAUAAGGCUUUUCUCAAAGCCACAACUUUUUGCUCAGCCACUGAUUGCAGUGCAUUUGGCUAGGUUUAUGUGGGAAUGAAUCUUGAUUCUAGAGAGCUUCCCGCCAUUAAGCAGACUCAUUUUUAUGUGUGUCUUUUAUUAUUCCUCUUUUUUUAUAUAGUUAAAUUUGGUGUUAGUUUCUUCAAUUGUUUUGGUAUUAAUUUUUAUGUGUAUCUAAGAAGGUUUCAAUUGUAGAAAGAGUGCUUCAAAAGAGAAAAUCAUAUCCAAUUUAAUUGCUUUAUUUACAGUUAUGUUGUUGAUUCUUACAAUUUUUGUAUGAAGCACUGUGUACAUUUGAUUUUAUUUGUGAAGUGAUGAUUGGUUGGGUCCUUUAUAUCAAAGUAAAA